rfam:Actinokineospora bangkokensis strain 44EHW Scaffold5, whole genome shotgun sequence.
GGCGGUUCAGUCCGACCCCCCGGGGCUGAACCUCUGACGACCCCCGCCCCUCCCCCCUGGCGGGGGUCGUCCCUU